CCAAAUGGAAGGAAAUGAGAUUGUCUCUGGGGAUGAAGGUGGAAAGAGAUUACGUUAUGUGCAUUUGGAUUAUUUUUAUGGAACACUCUUCCUGGAGUUAGUUGUUACCCAGUACACUCAGCACCUUUUCAGAUGAAUGCAUAUUUUGUUAUACUUUGUUUCACUGGUACUUGGCUCUGCGGCUCAGUUGGGGUGGCGAUUUUCCAGUUCUACGAGGCUGGAACUUAAUGUACAGUUUAGCUGCUGUGUGAGCCGGCUGUACAGCUUGUCUGGUAUGGACCGGAUGCCUUUUGGUACGGAAACGCUCUGGGUUUAAUCUACUAUACUUGCAUUUGUCAUCUGUAAAAUAUCUGCUCUUUCACAUAUUUUCAUCAAUUCACAGGAUGGUGAACAGAAUUUUUAGAGAUGUAUUCACAAAGAAUUCUGGGAAAUGCAACCCCCCCCCCCCCAAAAAAAAAAAUAACAGGAAUUCUAUAACAUAGCUAAUGUUUUAGCUUCACUAUUUUGGCCAAAAAUAUGAAAUCUUCCUCUUAUUUCUCUACAAUUUCAACAUCAUAUAAUAUAAUAUACAUUAUCGUGUGCACAUAGUAUGUUACCAUUUUCUAUAUACUAAUCUUCUGAGUGUGUAACCAGGCCCAAACAGAGGAUGUUGUACUAGUUAGUGCCUCACUUCUAAAUCCAGUGUAAGUGUGUUUCAGGAGGAGUGCGGGUUUCUUCCAGAGCCAACGUUUGGAGGCGAUAGCGAUUAGAGAGUUGUGGACUUACUGAGUCAAAAUGUAUUUCUACUGGCAUUUACAACAGAGUUAUGUCUCUCCGCAGAGCUCCUUACCCAUUCCGACCCCAUGUCCUCCAGCCAAACAUAGACUGUCGCCUUGGAAUCCUGUCCAACAUGGGUUCUGGAAGAUCAACUUUUUGUCAUUUUGUCCACGCCAGUCUUGUAAUAUUUUUAUCAAAAUGAGGCCACACACGUUGUACUAUGGAGAGUAUGUCUUCACAGCAGUUUUCUGUAAAAUAUAUCUUGUUACAGCUUAUGUUAUGGUGCUAUUAUAACUAAAGGCCAAUGUUAUAUUGUUUAAGAUAAAAUAUCAGCCUGCGCAUUACACAAAGCAUUAGAGCCAGCAUUAAAUUUUUUUAUAUUGUUGGAUGUUUUAUUUUUCUCUGGCUUUCUUGUGCACUUAGAUUUUAAAAAGUAGGCAGCUCUGUUACUGGGAUUAUCUGUUACUGAGUUACAAUACAUUUCUACUUAAAAAGACAAUCUACAAAUCAUAUGAUAGAACAGAUUCACGAUGGUGAUUUGUUUAUUAUGGGGAAUAUAUAUAUACACAGUGCAGGUUCUGGAAAUAUCAUUCAUAGAAUUAGUUUGCACAAGCUAUAUAACCUCGAUAUAUAAUAGCCUGCUUUCCUGAUAUUGUCUGCAGUACCAGAUAUUGCCAUCAAUUUCCAAUGGGCACGGUGUUUCCAGAGCUCGGGCAUAUCACCAAUGCCAAUCACCAGGCAACCACCUGUAAACCAGCUUCGGGCUGCCCUGUAAAUGGCGAAACAAUAAAAACACAAUGCGUUUCCAAUACUACAUCUCAGACGGUGCAUAAACCGUGCCCAGAUAAUAACCUUGUAUAUUCAGACCAAAUGGAGAAACAGGUUUUCUGGAUGUAUUAGUUGUGUAUUUAUUGCUCAUUGGAUAUAAUAAGAUAAUAAUUUACUGUUUGAUUAAUUAUUACUUUGUCCUGUUUGCCUCGCUGUAUAUUGAUAAUUACCUCCUCACAUUCCCGUUUUGUAUCCUUGAAACUGCUGAUAUUUUGUAUCAGGUAAAAUAAAUCACCUGUUUGGAA